CGGAGGAUCCAAGCGUUAUCCGGAUUUAUUGGGUUUAAAGGGUGCGUAGGCGGCUUUUUAAGUCAGGGGUGAAAGACGGUAGCUCAACUAUCGCAGUGCCCUUGAUACUGAAGAGCUUGAAUGUACUUGAGGUAGGCGGAAUGUGACAAGUAGCGGUGAAAUGCAUAGAUAUGUCACAGAUCACCAAUUGCGAAGGCAGCUUACUAAAGUAUGAUUGACGCUGAGGCACGAAAGCGUGGGGAUCAAACAGGAUUAGAUACCCUGGUAGUCCACGCCCUAAACGAUGAACACUCGAUGUUGGCGAUAUACGGUCAGCGUCUAAGCGAAAGCGUUAAGUGUUCCACCUGGGGAGUACGCCCGCAAGGGUG
rnacentral:rRNA from 1 species